rnacentral:rRNA from 1 species
AUGGCACGUUACAGGAGGCAGCAAGGCAUGUCCGACUUGGUGUGCAACAACAAAAAAAGGAGUCCGGGCGUCCGGGUGGUCUUGUCCACGACAGAGGCAGCAGGGCCAAAAGGGCAGCCAGGAGACGAGCGCGGGCUUGCUGGUCGGAGCAGAGGCGGCAGGGCGGAGCAGCAGCACAGGACGCGGACAGAGGAGGUGCUGCCGGGCACUUAUGGUGGUGGAGGAGGGGCUCCAUGCGAACAGGGCCGCGGUGGAGGUCGUCGUCGGGCGCGCAAACACGCCGAGCAGGAGCGCCCUCGGGUCGAGCAGAAGAGGGGGCCAGAGCAAGGGAAGAAGGGCAACGCAGAGGAGAGGCAUGGCCUCGCUAGAGCAGCUGGCGACGGCGGGAUAGCCUGGACGAGGCCGGAGUUGGAGAGGAGCUUGGGGGUCGCGACAUGA